rnacentral:lncRNA from 1 species
GUGAAUCUAACCAAGACUCUCUCAUGAGCUGGGUGUUGAAUGAAGCUAACACGUGUGAAAAAAUCAUUUUAAUUAGUCUUUGAAUUCUUGGAGAGUGCAGUAAUAACAGGAAGAAACUCUCUCACCUUUAAGUCCUCAUCCAUGUUUGAAAUUCAUGUUGUGAAAGAAAAUCGGAUUCUUCAAAAAGCUUUGAAAUCAUGAACUGAUAAGUUUCUUAAUAGUGACCUGUAUUUAAUGACAAUAAACUUGUUCUCAGGACGGAGGCGAAAUCAAUAACAAAACUCACAUAUCCAUCUGUAUUUUGUGGAAUUUCUGCUGGCAUACCUGCUUUCUACAACUGAAGGAGAUAAUACAGCAGACACACCAAGUAGUAGAAACCGAGCAAAACAAAGAAAUCGAGAAAUGGAAAAGACUUUCACAGUUGAAGGAUCGUGAAUUGGACAAGUUCCGCACAGAAUUAGACUCAGUACUAGAUAUUCUUUGAGAGCUGCACCGGCAGGGAGUGGUUGUGCCAGUUGCUUUUGCAGAUGAAGUGAAUGCACCAGAAUAUUACUAGAAACCGGGAUUUCCUAGGAGCUCACAGAAAGUUCCCACUGCUCAUAAACAAAGGAAUCUGAGUUUGAUCCAAAAUAAAAGUCCAUGUUCUUAACCA